AGAGAUCAACACCCAAAUUAGAUCAAAGGUUUGAUCAAGUCAUCGUCAAAAUCAAUAAUCCAUUUUGGUGGAUUAGGGUUUUCAUCCCAUCAUCAUCCAAAAUCUAUUGAGUUUGAUGAGACAUAUGAUCAAAACAACCAUGAUCCAAGGCCAACAAAAGUCCAUCAAGGUCAAACAAAUAUAAGAUGCAAUUAAAUGAAAUAAAAAUGCAACAAAAGUAUU
rnacentral:lncRNA from 1 species